CGUUACUCCCUGCACAAGGUUCUAUGCAUUUGUUAAUGUGAUUGUAUUACCAUGGAGUAAUUAUUCAGGCCCUGAAGGAGAACAGAGCAACAACUGGCUCCCGAAUGCAGCAACGCUGGAGGGGAUCAAGGCCGCUUCUUCUGUCUUUUAAGCAGCUUGCCGUCAAACAGAUUCACCACAAAGCAGGUUCUGUGGGGGUUUGGCUAGUACCAGAAUUAGGACUACAGCAUUUUCUAAAAGGAAACAGGUAAACAUGCUACAAAGGAGUGCUACUGAAGUAGACCUGAAAACCCCUAAACAUAAUGGAAGUCAGAACUGAAAUAUUCAAGGCAAAGACACAGUUUGGUGGAUGAGUAAUUUUGGGAAUGCGCAGUGCAACAAUAGCAGCAGUGAAGUAUAAAAUUGCACCAAAUUUAAACCAUCUAAAAUGGAGCAGUCGCAAAAUAGGAUCUAUGAUUUCAAUUGUCUGCCAGGUAAAAUGUCCACAUUAUGCUUUUUACAAGUUCUGCUGAAAAUUGGUUCAAUAAUUUGAUCAUAUUACAUCACAGAACCCUUGUUUCUGUGUUUUUCAUGGCUCUGUACUUUUAAAUUUUAGAAAUGUGCACUAACGGUUUAUUGUUUAGACUGUUUGGAAUUGAACCUUUCUGGAUUUUUGUCAGUUUCCUAGCAAUAAUGUGACAUUUCAGCUGUUUCAGCGUUAAGUAUUUUGUUUCAAAAUAAACCUUUUUCUGUAAUCUCUUGAAGAAUAAAAACAAUCUAUGUGCAGUUUGUUGUAACUUUAUAUAGCUGCAUCCAAUAAAGAAAUAUUGCCUCUUUAUUGAUGGGGAAUGGAUCAAUUGCGUAAAGGUUGGAAUCAGGGAAAGACAGGGAGUGCAAAGAUUCAGUCAGUACCGUCAAACUCUGGUCUUAUAAAGACAGCUAUAUUAUCCAGGUCACUUUUCAUACAAGUGCAGCAGAGCACCAAGAAGAGGUGAGGUGUUCCUGUUGAAAGAAAGUAAGUAAUUUCUGAAUUUUCCCAUAAACAAUGUUUUACUAGUUGACAGACAUCCACGGUAGUGGAAAUCCUGUCUCAAGAAAAUAUGUAAUUAGCCAAUCAUUAUUUUUAAAAAUGAAAACCAGAGUUCUUUUGAAAAUGAUGGAGUAGUAAUUCACUUUCAGUGGUGGCAUAAAAUAGCUGGUUUGGGUUGGCUGCCCGUCAUUACCAGAAAUUGAUGUUUUACCCAAUGAUUGUUGAUGUAUUGCCAUCCACUUUGUACUACUACUGGGGAUAAUUUUCCACCCAUAAAUAUUUUUGAAAGAGCCUUUCUUUUCUGUAAUGUGUUUUAAUA